rnacentral:tRNA from 1 species
GGAGAGUGAAGGGUGCCUGGUGGUCCUCGCGGUCUUCAAAACCGUUGUCGGUUCCGCGUACCGGGACCGAGGUAGGUUCGAUUCCUAUCCUCUCC